UACGUAGGGGGCGAGCGUUGUCCGGAAUUAUUGGGCGUAAAGAGCGUGUAGGCGGCCCGGUAAGUCCGCUGUAAAAGUCAAAGGCUCAACCUUUGAAUGUCAGUGGAUACUGCCGGGCUAGAGUCCGGAAGAGGCGAGUGGAACUCCUGGUGUAGCGGUGGAAUGCGCAGAUAUCAGGAAGAACACCAACGGCGAAGGCAGCUCGCUGGGACGGUACUGACGCUGAGACGCGAAAGCGUGGGGAGCGAACAGG
rnacentral:rRNA from 1 species